rnacentral:rRNA from 1 species
AUUGAACGCUGGCGGCAUGCCUAACACAUGCAAGUCGAACGGGGCAGCAAUGCCUAGUGGCGGACGGGUGAGGAAUACGUAGGAAUCUGCCCUUAAGUGGGGGAUAACCAGGGGAAACCCUGACUAAUACCGCAUGAUCUCUUCGGAGCAAAGAGGGGGACCGCAAGGCCUCUCGCUUCUGGAUGAGCCUACGUCUGAUUAGCUAGUUGGUAGGGUAAAGGCCUACCAAGGCGACGAUCAGUAAUUGGUCUGAGAGGAUGAUCAGUCACACCGGAACUGAGACACGGUCCGGACUCCUACGGGAGGCAGCAGUGGGGAAUAUUGGACAAUGGGCGCAAGCCUUAUCCAGCAAUGCCGCGUGUGUGAAGAAGGCCUUCGGGUUGUAAAGCACUUUAGCCUGGAAAGAAAGAACUUUGGUUAACACCCAAAGUCUUGACGGUACCAGGAGAAUAAGCACCGGCUAACUCUGUGCCAGCAGCCGCAGUAAUAC